GGGCGUGUGGUCUAGGGGUAUGGCGUCCGCUUCGCAACUUUCGAGCUGUUGUUCAACACUUGAAGUUCCGAUGUACUGCGGAAGGUCGAGGGUUCAAUUCCCUCCUCGUCCA
rnacentral:tRNA from 1 species